AGUGAACGCUGCGGCGUGCUUAACACAUGCAAGUCGAACGAGAACGGAUUAUAGCUUGCUAUAGUUGUCAGCUAAGUGGCGCACGGGUGAGUAAUGUAUAGGUAAUAUGCCUCUUACUAAGGGAUAACAAAUGGAAACGCUUGCUAAUACCUUAUACUCCUUAUUAACAGAAGUUAAUAAGGGAAAGAUUUAUUGGUAAGAGAUUAGCCUGUAUUGUAUCAGUUAGUUGGUGUGGUAAUGGCUUACCAAGACUAUGACACAUAACUGGUUUGAGAGGAUGAUCAGUCACACUGGAACUGAGACACGGUCCAGACUCCUACGGGAGGCAGCAGUGGGGAAUAUUGCACAAUGGACGAAAGUCUGAUGCAGCAACGCCGCGUGGAGGAUGACACAUUUCGGUGCGUAAACUCCUUUUAUAUGAGAAGAUAAUGACGGUAUUAUAUGAAUAAGCACCGGCUAACUCCGUGCCAGCCGCCGCAGUAA
rnacentral:rRNA from 1 species